GCAUGCUGAGCAAACGCUUAUGAACUAAAGUCUUGUCAUUUGAAGAAAAAAUAAAUUACUUUGCGUCACUAACAAUCGGUUAAUAAUUUGGCACAACUUAUAUCAAAUACGUGUACGAAAACCAUAAUGGUUGCGUUGAAAAAGAAGAAAGAAUCGUACAUCCAUCUACAGAGAUCGAAAACAAAUCUGAGAAAAUCAAAUCUGAAACGUUUCAAGGUUUCCAACGAUUCAUCGCCGUUGAAAUUUCAAGCCCCCCUUUCGUUAGUAGUGGAUUCGUUAGCUGGUGGUGAAGUGAGGAAAAUCUUUAAGAAUGACCUAUACCGAAAUAAAAGCAGCAUUUCGAUGGAUCUAUCAAAUGAUUCGGAAGAAAACAUCUGGAAUAAACCAAGAGAUUUGAUCAAAGACGUCCACUGCACAAGCAACCGAAUGAAUCCAUUGUGGAAAGUACAAAUAUCGAAGAAAUAUUAUCCACAGAGAAACUUUCUUUGAAUGAAAGGAAAAUGUAGAAAAAAAUUCUAAAAAUAAAUUGAAGUCAACAACAAGUC